GUUUUUGUCAAUAUAAUUCUUUUAUUACUGUUAUUAGUUUAAUCGGUAUUUUCUAUCGUUUAGUUUAUCAGUUUAAUCAAUUUCCUACGUUAAAUUUGUGAACAGACCAUUUGAAUAGCUUGUGAUGAAGGAUUGCGUAAGGGUGUUAUCAGGUUUUCUUGACUCCGUAACCACUAUCACCAAAGAAGAUACUAAUUCAAUCUUCACAUUCUCUUCUCAUAAAUAUUUAACUGUUUACAGCUAUGAUUUCAAAUUCACUCAAAAAUGUUAAUAUUUGCCUUAUUCUAGGGAAGUAGUUAGGUAAUUUAAAUAAUUUUAGAAGGUAAAUUAGUUUGUAAUUAUUAUUAAAUAAAGUGAUAAUAUGUACCUACAUAAGCAUGGUACAAAUAUAAUUAAUUUAAGAUUUAUUAAUAAAUUAUGUACAUCUAAUUUAAUAAAUUAACAAAAUCGUUUUCUACAUUUGCUUCAAAAUCAUUCACAAGUUGCAAAAAGGAGCCUGUUGCUUAAAACCAGUGAUAUGGGCCCACUUCACUGCACAAAACCUUAAUUUAAGGCAAUAAAAACAAUGUUCUUAGAAGAUACAGCUUGGUUCUUGAAAUGUCAAUAACAAAUUUGCCACUUGUUUUCGUUCUCGUUCUUACCUAUCUGUUCGAUUUUUUAUUCUAUGAGCAAUACUAGUUUCAUACAAAUAGUGAACAGUGAACAGAUAUCCAAAAUCUUU